UAGACUAAAGUCCGUUGGCUUGGACAGCUAUUUGUUAAUUAGUUUUUUGCGGGAUCAAAGCCUGCUAGUCUAG
rnacentral:tRNA from 1 species